UAAUAAUUGAAAUACAUGUUUUACUAACCUCUAAAAUUAGCAAAGAGAAAUAUUCAUGAUAUGGAUUUUAGGUUUAAGUAAUCAAGUAAUUGACACAAAAUGUCAAUCAGUUGCAAAUGAUUUUUCUGAUCUAGAGUUAUGGGAGUAUAUGCAUUUUUUCUGAAAGUAAGGGAUAAUAUAUUGGAAGAACUAACAUUUUGAAUAAAAUAGAAAGAUCCCUCUUAUGCUCUUGUGCUACCGAGGGCAAUAAGCAUGUAUGGUCUUGACCUUCUGUACCUAAAGAAUAUCUCAUUGGAAUGACACAGAACUUUACAUAUCCAAGAUAUAAGCCAUCACCUUGGCUUGUCAUGCUACAUGUUAUUUCCCCAUGCUUGGGAUCUUAGCAUUGAUUUUUUAUAUGAUCAUUCUCUUCAUGGAAUAUUCAAGGUCUGUUUCAACUUUGUGGUGUCACAAUAGGGAAGACAGACAUAUAAUUGUGUGAUUGCAUUUGUUUCUACCUAUUGCUUUUCUAACUGAUAUUUUAUUGUCCAAUGAUGAUAACCAGUUUAUUUACCUAUAUUCUGGAAAAAUAAUACUAGGUGAUUAGCUCAAAAUAAUAAUAGCAUGUGAGCUACUGUGGACUAACAUAAAGUUUUGUAACAAAGAGAUUCA
rnacentral:lncRNA from 1 species